GGAGGCUAAGGAUUUAAAUUCAGUGCCUAUUGAAUCUCUCAUUAACUCACUAACCUCUUAUGAGUUGAAGUUGAAAUCUAAAGUGCAGGAGGAAGAGGAUGCUAGAGCAAAGAGAAACAUUGCUCUAAAGACUACUCAAGGUGAAGAUGAUCCAGCUCACUUGGAUGAUGAAGACUCGGAUGGUGAUGAUAAUGAUCUUGCUCUCAUCACAAGGGGCUUCAAGAGAAUCCUGAAUAAAAGGAAGUUUAGAAGGGGAGGACCUAGCAAUCAAUUUCAAAAUUAUUCAUCAAAUGCAAGGAACAAAGGAAAACAAGAAUUCAACAAGAAGCUAGUGGACAAAUGCUAUGAAUGUGGAUAGCCUGGACACUAUGCAAACGAAUGCCCCAUGAAGAAAAUGAAAGAUGGGAAAGCUGAUCGAAAGCCAAGAUUCAACAACUUCCAGAUUACUUGGAAUGAAUGCAACUCUGAAGGGGAAGUUGAAGAAGAGGAAGAAUCAGCUCAAAUGGCCUUC
rnacentral:lncRNA from 1 species